CAUAUUUGUUAUUAUUCACGAGAUGCUCCGAUCGAAACAAUGAGGUUAUGUACUACGAGUUAGAAAUAAAAAGAACGUGAAGCGUGACGAUGCGUUGAUAAGUUGAUACCAGUUGAUAUGUAAGAUAAGUAAGUAAAAACAGGCGUCACUCUAUUCUACGUCGUAAUGAGACUGUAUGGAUUUACAUAGCAGUUAAGCGUCGAUAGAAAAUAAUCCAAGUAAAAAUACACAUUAGAAUGAUCCAUGAUAACGAACGAAAACUUAAGAAAAAAGAGAAAAUAAAAGAGAAAAAAAGAAGAAAGAAAGAGAAGAAGUAGUAAGCGGUGAGAAAAGAAACGUAAAAAGAAAGAACGAGACAACAGAAGAGAACAAAACGGAUAAAAUAUGAAAUUAGAAUGUGUGGACCAUGGUAUUAUGGUAUGUAGCAACGUACCUCACUACUGGGUGCUUGGGAGGUACGGAUGGGUCCAUGGGGCUGAAAUAACAAAACAAAGCAUUUCAGGGCAAGAUAAAUGGAAACGAAGUGCUUUAAUCAAGUGCUUGUCUACUCGUCUACGAUGGUCAUACUUGUUGUCAAUGAUAGAUCCAUGAAAGUGAUCGGUUCUCGGUCAAAGAUCCAUCGACGAAAGGGGGGAAAAAUCAAGAAAAAAGAAAAAAAGAGAAAAGAAAAAUGCCAGACGUUUAAACAGUUGGAUGGGAGCUGGAGUGCAGCAAAGAGC